ACAAACAAGUCGGAUGUCGUGCUUCCUCCGCACCGUCCGCACCCACCUGACGACUGCUCGCUACGUUUCUUUCCC
rnacentral:sRNA from 1 species